CUCUAUUGCAAAUUGUUCAGUGGAAAAGUGGCUACUUCCGUUUUAAUUGCCGAAGAGCUUGAUUGUAUUUUUCUUGUGUGGAAUAGAGUUGGAAAAAAGUGAUAACGUUAUUAAAGUGAAGUUAAUAAUUUGUGGAUUGAUCUAACAGGCCUAAGAAAAGAAUACUACAAAACACACCCAGGCAAUUAUGGUCGGCUCAAGAGUUUACGUCGGUGGAUUGCCGUAUGGAGUUCGUGAAAGAGAUUUGGAGCGGUUUUUUAAAGGUUAUGGACGAACGCGAGAUAUAUUGUUAAAAAAUGGAUAUGGCUUCGUGGAAUUCGAAGAUUACAGAGAUGCGGAUGAUGCAGUGUAUGAGUUAAAUGGGAAAGAAUUGUUAGGAGAAAGAGUUGUUGUCGAACCUGCAAGAGGUACAGCUCGUGGUGGUCAUAGAGACCGGUAUGACGAUCGAUAUGGUGGGCGCCGCGGUGGUGGUGGUCGUUAUAAUGACAAAUCAUCCUCCCGUUAUGGACCGCCGUUACGAACAGAGUACCGUCUAAUUGUGGAGAAUUUAUCGAGCCGCGUUAGUUGGCAGAAAUGCCACUAAUGGGUUGACUGACAGAUCAUCACCUUGGUUGAAAGAUGAAGCUAAGAGUCUUUAUUUGAGAAGAAUUUAUGUGAACUGUUUAUGAGUACAAGUGCAAUUAACCCGCUUGGCUUGGCUGGCUGCUCACUUGAAAACUCAUGCGACCUCCCUAAUUUUAAUGCGGGAAAGGCGGCCAUUGCAGUGUGAAAGAUAUAUAAGGACUCAUCCUAAUUGCAAUCACUUACAAUACCAAUUGUUAAAAGAGACUAAACUCGGACAUGAAGGCACAUGAACAAAAAUGCCAUUCUUGGAGGUAGAUUGUUAACAUUCAUCCGGUUCCUGAGAUGGUCAUGAUGUUGUUUCUUUAAUGCGACCGAAUGCAAAAACGAAUUUGGGAAUAAUUCGCUUCUAAUAAAUUUUUUGGGCUUCGAGCAAGGAAAAAUAAACAACCACAUCCACCACUUAAAAAAUGUUUAGCCAGGACGUUGGAGCACUCACAGAGAUAGGGUUAAAAACAUCUUUAAUAUAAAAAUAACGGUAGAAGAAUCGUGACAGAUGUCAGAGCAACCUAAUGAAGGCACAUGAGCUGAAGAAGCGGACAAGAAACGCAAUUAUUCGAUAUAUCAUUUUCUGCCUUUGUAAUUAUAUAGUUCGAUGUCUGGUGCAUAUGAAAUUUUUAAAUGUACAAACUGAAAGCGCUGGUUUUUUAAAAUUAGCGUAUAGCGAUUGCAAAAUAAUCACAGAGUGUCGUACCAACGUAGAGCCUGUCGGACAAACCUUCCGAACGAUUGCGAUUACGAAUGGUGUGCGAGUGGGGCCAUAGAGCUUCUAAUGCUCCUAAUGACGCUUCUGACGGCUUCAGUAAACGUGCUUCCCAGGCUUUCAUAUGCUCUGACUAUGGCUAUAAAAUCUGUUCCUUGUCCAAAAAUUAGCGACGUGCAAAAGAUGUCCUAUAACUGGUCUACUGCUUAGGUGGUACUUAAUGUAGAACAUCGAUGUCGUCGACUGAACCGUAUCUAACCGGCCUACCAAUAGUUCUUUCUGGUGAUGAGGGACCGUAGAAAAUAUCAGCAAACCAACAGUCAAACCUAGAUGCGAUGUUGAUGGGUGGUGGCAGUCAAGAGAGUGCAUCAUCAUACCUCCAUUCUGGAGGUCUGAACUCAUUUCCCUUUAUUUACAGUAGAAGAAACAUUAUUUCCGAAAAGGCAUAACUGGUUUCCGAUGUCUUAUGGCGGCCCUAAUCUAAGCCACUUAUAGAUUGGGUUCUCUUGUUCGCAUGUGCAACAACGCAACGAGGCACACUUAUAAAAAUUGCUACCGGAAGUCCUUUUUUAUAGCGAGUAUACACUUGAGUGACGUACCUAUGUGCUUGCAGAGUCUGUGUUCAGAUGCUUCUCUUCAAGAAGUAAUAAUGAUUCGACCAAACCGUUAUCGUCCGCAUAGUCACACUAGAGUUAUCUUUGCGACCCACAAUGUCUACGUGAGAUAAGCGUGCGAAAUUUCACAAAAGAUGGUAGACGAGGUGCAUAUAUUUACGUAUUCGUUGGAUGUAACUAAUUAUGCGACUUAACUUGAGCAUUUGAAUAGUGCCAAUUUGCCGAGAUUUUAUACACUUGAAAAAAUUUCGAACACACAUCUGAGGGUCCUAUGCGCCACAUACCAUAUGCAACCGCUGCCUACGUUGAUCACGCUUUAUAUUGAGGUCACAAAUACAUUUGAUAUACAGUGAAAGUAUUACUGACAAAAAGCGACUUUGUUGAUGUGAUAUUAA